rnacentral:rRNA from 1 species
GACGAACGCUGGCGGCGUGCUUAACACAUGCAAGUCGAACGGAAAGGCCCUGCUUUUGUGGGGUGCUCGAGUGGCGAACGGGUGAGUAACACGUGAGUAACCUGCCCUUGACUUUGGGAUAACUUCAGGAAACUGGGGCUAAUACCGGAUAGGAGCUCCUGCUGCAUGGUGGGGGUUGGAAAGUUUCGGCGGUUGGGGAUGGACUCGCGGCUUAUCAGCUUGGUGGUGGGGUAGUGGCUUACCAAGGCUUUGACGGGUAGCCGGCCUGAGAGGGUGACCGGCCACAUUGGGCCUGAGAGACGGCCCAGACUCCUACGGGAGGCAGCAGUGGGGAAUAUUGCACAAUGGGCGGAAGCCUGAUGCAGCAACGCCGCGUGCGGGAUGACGGCCUUCGGGUUGUAAACCGCUGUCGCCUGUGACGAAGCGUGAGUGACGGUAAUGGGUAAAGAAGCACCGGCUAACUACGUG